AUGGAAGAGAUCCCCACCGUCAGCGGUGGCCGUAGAGAAGGAGGACGACGCAGCAGCGCCAAGCCAAGAGGAUUCAAGACGGGGACAAGGAAGCUCCGGCUGUGCAUCCGCGACGAGCGCGGCAUCAGGAUAUGCGAUGACGAGGGCGCCGCCAUGCUGCGGACCACGCCGCUAGGGCGCGAGGUAGCGUUCAGGGAGGACCUGCGGGCGGCGACGGUCGUCUACUACCAUCUCAAGAGUAUGGGCAUGUUCAAGUGGAAGGCCUACAAAAAGCAGCGGAAAACCAUCCGGGGCCUCAUCAGGACCAUCCACCAGGCAGCCACGCGGUACAAGGACCGCCGCCUGGACGCCGGCUUCUUCUACCUGGUGCCGAGAGAGGAGGACCUCACCGUCGAGGUCCGCAGCCACUUGUACCACAUGCCGCUCCGGGAAGCGGUGCGGAGGUGCCGGCUGCAGCUCGAAAAGAGAAGAGACGUUCUUGAAAACAAGAGCAAGGCCGCUUCUUCUUCUCAGGGUCAGGCUCAGGUAUCCGAUGCCGGCACUGCGGGAUGGCUCUCGCCCGCUGCUAGAUUCAUGUUGUGGACGACGCUGUCGUCCGUGGUUCUAGGUUGUAUCAUUGUCCGUAUCUGA
rnacentral:rRNA from 1 species